ACUUGUUUUCCUAUGGCGGGCGCCGCGGGCUGCUACAUCCUCCUCUUAAGGUGGACUGGGGAAGUUGCGGCCGGCCGCCCCGGCCCGCCGCCUCCCGCCGCCCGGGGAGAGCGGGAGAGGGGCCGAGGGGCUUCAAGCGGCGAGGGCGCAGCAGCGGGCCGAGGAGAAGACGGAGAGGGCUGCCUUUUGUCCCCUCCCCGGUGGCCCUGGCGCUGGUCCCCGAGCAGAAGGGAGUGAUGUUGCAGGAGCAGCCACUAUCAGUGCUCUGGCCCUCUACAGAAGAAGGCUCUCCAGGAGACAGAAGAUGGGAAUCAAGACUCUCCAAUAAUGGCAGUUUCUGGGUUGAAGCAAACUAAGAGAAAAUCUAUUUCCCUCCCCACCAUGGCAGUUGAGGGACAUAAUGGAACAAAGUAGAAGCAGGCCCAGCCCAUAAUUGUAGAGGAUGUUGAGGCCCAGAGAGGAAGGCACUUUGCCUCCUCCAAGCCUAGGUUAAAAGCAUUUUACAUCAUGGCACCCCUGCUCUGGCACCCUGGUCAAAUAAAUGCCUGGUUCUGCUUUUCUGCCAGGGAGCAACUGCCUAGCACA